AGCAGGGAAAAAAUGAAGAAAGGAAUGCAAUAUAUGUAGUCCCACAAGUUUAUAUAAAGGCACAGGUACUUCAGCUCAUACACCUCACUCGUAGGAGCGCAGGCUAUUUCGUGCGUAUUGGUGAGCUCCAGGUUGAUUCGGGGCUUUCCGAGUCUGUUCCAUAUGUUUUGGUAUUGUGCAGUAGGUUAAGAGUAGUACGGGAGGGUUGUCCCGACCCUAACUAAGUCUAUGUAUCUUUUAGAGGCUUUGUAGACUAAUGUAAAGUUAUGGUAGUGUCCUGAUUUUAGACAUGGUGGCCCCAUCGGCCAAAUGUUGUACAUAUCAGUUUGUGCAUGCAUGUGUAGUUAUUUUCAUCGAUACA